UCCAGACUCCUACGGGAGGCAGCAGUGAGGAAUAUUGGUCAAUGGGCGCGAGCCUGAACCAGCCAAGUCGCGUGAGGGAAGACGGUCCUAUGGGUUGUAAACCUCUUUUGUCGGGGAGCAAAAGCCGGACGUGUCCGGCUGUGAGAGUACCCGAAGAAAAAGCAUCGGCUAACUCCGUGCCAGCAGCCGCGGUAAUACGGAGGAUGCGAGCGUUAUCCGGAUUUAUUGGGUUUAAAGGGUGCGCAGGCGGAUUUUUAAGUCAGCGGUCAAAUCGUGGGGCUCAACCCCAUCCAGCCGUUGAAACUGGGGAUCUAGAGUGUGCGAGAGGUAUGCGGAAUGCGUGGUGUAGCGGUGAAAUGCAUAGAUAUCGCGCAGAACUCCGAUUGCGAAGGCAGCAUGCCGGCUCCACACUGACGCUGAGGCACGAAAGCGUGGGUAUCGAACAGGAUUAGAUACCCCCGUA
rnacentral:rRNA from 1 species